rnacentral:tRNA from 2 species
UCCUGGUUAGCUCAGUUGGUAGAGCGCUCCACUUGAAAUGAAGAGGACCCUGCAUGGUUCGAUACCAGGACCAGGCG